UGGGGAAUAUUGCACAAUGGGCGCAAGCCUGAUGCAGCCGUGCCGCGUGUAUGAAGAAGGCCUUCGGGUUGUAAAGUACUUUCAGCGAGGAGGAAGGCAUUAAGGUUAAUAACCUUAGUGAUUGACGUUACUCGCAGAAGAAGCACCGGCUAACUCCGUGCCAGCAGCCGCGGUAAUACGGAGGGUGCAAGCGUUAAUCGGAAUUACUGGGCGUAAAGCGCACGCAGGCGGUCUGUUAAGUCAGAUGUGAAAUCCCCGGGCUCAACCUGGGAACUGCAUUUGAAACUGGCAGGCUUGAGUCUUGUAGAGGGGGGUAGAAUUCCAGGUGUAGCGGUGAAAUGCGUAGAGAUCUGGGGGAAUACCGGUGGCGAAGGCGGCCCCCGUGGACAAAGACUGACGCUCAGGUGCGAAAGCGUGGGGAGCAAACAGGAUUAGAUACCCGUGGUAGUCCACGCUGUAAACGAUGUCGACUUGGAGGUUGUUCCCUUGAGGAGUGGCUUCCGGAGCUAACGCGUUAAGUCGA
rnacentral:rRNA from 1 species